rnacentral:rRNA from 1 species
UUAAGCGACUAAGCGUACACGGUGGAUGCCCUGGCAGUCAGAGGCGAUGAAGGACGUGCUAAUCUGCGAUAAGCGUCGGUAAGGUGAUAUGAACCGUUAUAACCGGCGAUUUCCGAAUGGGGAAACCCAGUGUGUUUCGACACACUAUCAUUAACUGAAUCCAUAGGUUAAUGAGGCGAACCGGGGGAACUGAAACAUCUAAGUACCCCGAGGAAAAGAAAUCAACCGAGAUUCCCCCAGUAGCGGCGAGCGAACGGGGAGCAGCCCAGAGCCUGAAUCAGUAUGUGUGUUAGUGGAAGCGUCUGGAAAGGCGCGCGAUACAGGGUGACAGCCCCGUACACAAAAAUGCACAUGCUGUGAGCUCGAUGAGUAGGGCGGGACACGUGGUAUCCUGUCUGAAUAUGGGGGGACCAUCCUCCAAGGCUAAAUACUCCUGACUGACCGAUAGUGAACCAGUACCGUGAGGGAAAGGCGAAAAGAACCCCGGCGAGGGGAGUGAAAAAGAACCUGAAACCGUGUACGUACAAGCAGUGGGAGCACGCUUAGGCGUGUGACUGCGUACCUUUUGUAUAAUGGGUCAGCGACUUAUAUUCUGUAGCAAGGUUAACCGAAUAGGGGAGCCGAAGGGAAACCGAGUCUUAACUGGGCGUUAAGUUGCAGGGUAUAGACCCGAAACCCGGUGAUCUAGCCAUGGGCAGGUUGAAGGUUGGGUAACACUAACUGGAGGACCGAACCGACUAAUGUUGAAAAAUUAGCGGAUGACUUGUGGCUGGGGGUGAAAGGCCAAUCAAACCGGGAGAUAGCUGGUUCUCCCCGAAAGCUAUUUAGGUAGCGCCUCGUGAAUUCAUCUCCGGGGGUAGAGCACUGUUUCGGCAAGGGGGUCAUCCCGACUUACCAACCCGAUGCAAACUGCGAAUACCGGAGAAUGUUAUCACGGGAGACACACGGCGGGUGCUAACGUCCGUCGUGAAGAGGGAAAUAACCCAGACCGCCAGCUAAGGUCCCAAAGUCAUGGUUAAGUGGGAAACGAUGUGGGAAGGCCCAGACAGCCAGGAUGUUGGCUUAGAAGCAGCCAUCAUUUAAAGAAAGCGUAAUAGCUCACUGGUCGAGUCGGCCUGCGCGGAAGAUGUAACGGGGCUAAACCAUGCACCGAAGCUGCGGCAGCGACGCUGAUGCGUUGUUGGGUAGGGGAGCGUUCUGUAAGCCUGUGAAGGUGUGCUGUGAGGCAUGCUGGAGGUAUCAGAAGUGCGAAUGCUGACAUAAGUAACGAUAAAGCGGGUGAAAAGCCCGCUCGCCGGAAGACCAAGGGUUCCUGUCCAACGUUAAUCGGGGCAGGGUGAGUCGACCCCUAAGGCGAGGCCGAAAGGCGUAGUCGAUGGGAAACAGGUUAAUAUUCCUGUACUUGGUGUUACUGCGAAGGGGGGACGGAGAAGGCUAUGUUGGCCGGGCGACGGUUGUCCCGGUUUAAGCGUGUAGGCUGGUUUUCCAGGCAAAUCCGGAAAAUCAAGGCUGAGGCGUGAUGACGAGGCACUACGGUGCUGAAGCAACAAAUGCCCUGCUUCCAGGAAAAGCCUCUAAGCAUCAGGUAACAUCAAAUCGUACCCCAAACCGACACAGGUGGUCAGGUAGAGAAUACCAAGGCGCUUGAGAGAACUCGGGUGAAGGAACUAGGCAAAAUGGUGCCGUAACUUCGGGAGAAGGCACGCUGAUAUGUAGGUGAAGUCCCUCGCGGAUGGAGCUGAAAUCAGUCGAAGAUACCAGCUGGCUGCAACUGUUUAUUAAAAACACAGCACUGUGCAAACACGAAAGUGGACGUAUACGGUGUGACGCCUGCCCGGUGCCGGAAGGUUAAUUGAUGGGGUUAGCGCAAGCGAAGCUCUUGAUCGAAGCCCCGGUAAACGGCGGCCGUAACUAUAACGGUCCUAAGGUAGCGAAAUUCCUUGUCGGGUAAGUUCCGACCUGCACGAAUGGCGUAAUGAUGGCCAGGCUGUCUCCACCCGAGACUCAGUGAAAUUGAACUCGCUGUGAAGAUGCAGUGUACCCGCGGCAAGACGGAAAGACCCCGUGAACCUUUACUAUAGCUUGACACUGAACAUUGAGCCUUGAUGUGUAGGAUAGGUGGGAGGCUUUGAAGUGUGGACGCCAGUCUGCAUGGAGCCGACCUUGAAAUACCACCCUUUAAUGUUUGAUGUUCUAACGUUGACCCGUAAUCCGGGUUGCGGACAGUGUCUGGUGGGUAGUUUGACUGGGGCGGUCUCCUCCUAAAGAGUAACGGAGGAGCACGAAGGUUGGCUAAUCCUGGUCGGACAUCAGGAGGUUAGUGCAAUGGCAUAAGCCAGCUUGACUGCGAGCGUGACGGCGCGAGCAGGUGCGAAAGCAGGUCAUAGUGAUCCGGUGGUUCUGAAUGGAAGGGCCAUCGCUCAACGGAUAAAAGGUACUCCGGGGAUAACAGGCUGAUACCGCCCAAGAGUUCAUAUCGACGGCGGUGUUUGGCACCUCGAUGUCGGCUCAUCACAUCCUGGGGCUGAAGUAGGUCCCAAGGGUAUGGCUGUUCGCCAUUUAAAGUGGUACGCGAGCUGGGUUUAGAACGUCGUGAGACAGUUCGGUCCCUAUCUGCCGUGGGCGCUGGAGAACUGAGGGGGGCUGCUCCUAGUACGAGAGGACCGGAGUGGACGCAUCACUGGUGUUCGGGUUGUCAUGCCAAUGGCACUGCCCGGUAGCUAAAUGCGGAAGAGAUAAGUGCUGAAAGCAUCUAAGCACGAAACUUGCCCCGAGAUGAGUUCUCCCUGACCCUUUAAGGGUCCUGAAGGAACGUUGAAGACGACGACGUUGAUAGGCCGGGUGUGUAAGCGCAGCGAUGCGUUGAGCUAACCGGUACUAAUGAACCGUGAGGCUUAACCUU